AGAGUUUGAUCAUGGCUCAGAAUGAACGUUGGCGGCGUGGAUUAGGCAUGCAAGUCGAGCGAGAACCGUAGCAAUACGGGGACAGCGGCGAAAGGGACAGUAAUGUGUAGAUUAUCUGCCCUCGGGUCUGGGAUAGCUGCGGGAAACUGCAGGUAAUACCAGAUGACAUCUCCGGAUCAAAGGUGUGAUUCCGCCCGAGGAUGAGUCUGCAUCCUAUUAGCUAGUUGGUGGGGUAACGGCCUACCAAGGCGAUGAUGGGUAGCAGGUGUGAGAGCACGACCUGCGUCAUUGGGACUGAGACACUGCCCAGACACCUACGGGUGGCUGCAGUCGAGAAUCUUCGGCAAUGGGCGCAAGCCUGACCGAGCGACGCCGCGUGUGGGAUGAAGGCCUUCGGGUUGUAAACCACUGUCAGAGGGGAUGAAAUGCUGGUGGGUUCUCCCAUCAGUUUGACAUAGCCUCAGAGGAAGGACGGGCUAAGUUCGUGCCAGCAGCCGCGGUAAGACGAACCGUCCAAACGUUAUUCGGAAUCACUGGGCUUAAAGGGUGCGUAGGCGGCGCGGAAAGUUGGGUGUGAAAUCCCUCGGCUUAACCGAGGAACUGCGCCCAAAACUACCGUGCUCGAGGGAGAUAGAGGUGAGCGGAACUUAGGGUGGAGCGGUGAAAUGCUGAUAUCCUAAGGAACACCGGUGGCGAAAGCGGCUCACUGGAUCUCUUCUGACGCUGAGGCACGAAAGCUAGGGUAGCGAACGGGAUUAGAUACCCUAGUAGUCC
rnacentral:rRNA from 1 species